rnacentral:rRNA from 1 species
GAUGAACGCUGACAGCAUGCUUAACACAUGCAAGUCUUUGGCGAAGCUGUGCUUGCACAGCCUAGCCAAGGCGGACGGGUGAGUAACGCGUAAGGAACUUGCCCUGCAGUCAGGGAUAACAGACGGAAACGACUGAUAAGACCUGGUAAAGUCAGGCGGACUCAUGUCCAGCCUGAUGAAAAGAGAUGCUGCAGGAGAGCCUUGCGUCCUAUUAGCUUGUUGGUGGGGUAACGGCCCACCAAGGCGAUGAUAGGUAGCCGGCCUGAGAGGGUGGACGGCCACAAGGGGAAUGAGAUACGGCCCUUAAGCCUACGGGAGGCAGCAGUGGGGAAUAUUGGACAAUGGGGGCAACCCUGAUCAAGCAAUUCUGUGUGCACGAUGAAGGUUUUAGGAUUGUAAAGUGCUUUCAGCAGGGAAGAAAAAAAUGACGGUACCUGCAGAAGAAGCGACGGCUAAAUACGUG